rnacentral:lncRNA from 1 species
GGGGAUCUUGUCAUCUCAAACGGUAUAUGAUAUUAUUGCAGAGUGUUCCUUAAUUUAGUUUAUAUCUUUACUAUGUCACUAUGAUCAUUUAGUUUGCACGUGAUUAAUUAUUCCAUGCACUUAAUCACCAAGGUUCCUAUAUUAAAUUAAUAAAUUAUAUGUCUUCAUGAAUUGUAGGAAAGCGUGGAUAGCUAAAAUAUUUAGAUUAUG